CUUGAAACACGGACCAAGGAGAGUAACAUGUACGCGAGUCAUUGCGCCUUACGAAACCCAAAGGCGAAGUGAAAGUAAAGGUUCGGCUUGUCCGGACUGAGGUGAGAUCCUGUCGUUUCUCACGCGUGGCACUACCAAGCAUCGAUCGGCAGGCGCAUCACCGGCCCGUCCCAUGGCGUAGUAGCGGCCUCGUGCUUGCUCAUCGUCGGGGCGGAGCAUGAGCGUACACGUUGAGACCCGAAAGAUGGUGAACUAUGCUUGCGCAGGUUGAAGCCAGAGGAAACUCUGGUGGAGGACCGCAGCAAUUCUGACGUGCAAAUCGAUCGUCAAACGUGAGUAUAGGGGCGAAAGACUAAUCGAACCAUCUAGUAGCUGGUUCCCUCCGAAGUUUCCCUCAGAAUAUAGCCAA
rnacentral:rRNA from 1 species